UACGUAGGGUGCGAGCGUUGUCCGGAAUUACUGGGCGUAAAGAGCUCGUAGGUGGUUUGUCACGUCGUCUGUGAAAUUCCGGGGCUUAACCUCGGGCGUGCAGGCGAUACGGGCAAUACUUGAGUGCUGUAGGGGAGACUGGAAUUCCUGGUGUAGCGGUGAAAUGCGCAGAUAUCAGGAGGAACACCGAUGGCGAAGGCAGGUCUCUGGGCAGUAACUGACGCUGAGGCUCGAAAGCGUGGGGAGCAAACAGGAUUAGAUACCCGU
rnacentral:rRNA from 1 species